ensembl:lncRNA
CCUGGGGUCUAUCUUUACUGGAAAAUUCUCUACCUGGUGAAAAACAACUCCUGGAGUGCCCUGGGAGUGAUAGAAUACCUAACCAUGGGACAUCAUGUGAUCACAAGGUCAUAACUGUCCAACAUGAACUGUGUCCUUUUCCCAUCAAGCCAUAGGGUUGAGCUGGCCCAACAACAGCCAUCAUAAAAUGAAAAUGGCACAGGAUUGAACACAAGCAGGACCAGAAGGUGGAAGCAAGCUGCAUGAGCAGGUAGCAUUGGCUGUGCCACCUCCAUUUAGUGACAGAAGGCUCCCAGAUCCCCCUUCAAGGAAGGACUUGCUCCCAGCUGCAGGAAAGGUGGUCAGCAGAACUGCUGUGAGCUAUCUGUUCCUUGAGGGCGGCCUCAGCUGCUUUACCAGAACCAUUCCUUCCCGGGGCAGCCAGUAUUCUGGGACUGGGAAGGCCCUGCCGGACCCUACUUCUUCCCACAGUCCCUGGGGACUAGCAAGGCUUUGGGGGCCUGUAUCUGGAUCAAAGUUCAACUUUCCCUUUGCUCUGCGCUGCCUCUUUCUUUCACAAGUACCGGUCCCCGAUGAACACCUCAUACUUCAAAUUCCAUUUCAGCAUCUGUUUCUAGAGAACUCAGCCUGUGACAGAGACCCAGCCCUGGAUCAGUGAUGGAACUCUGUACAGAUUUGCUCCUCGCUCGGAGAGAGAACAGGCCAGUGCAGUGGCGUGGUGUGGAGGGCAGGUUCCAUUUCCAAGCUGGCAGUGGUGCUGCCAUCUAUAACACUUAGGGUCCAGGGUCAGCCUGGUUGUUUCCUGGUCUCUUCCCUUCCAGCCUGUGGGGGCAGAGGGUAGACAACACGAGGAGGAGACACUCCUGCUUCUGAAGGGCUUUGUCCCCAGGGUGACACACUUCCCAUGGCCACAUCCAGCUGCUUGGCAGGCUGGCAGCCCAGGCUGGGUGCCACCUGGACCCACGUGUCUCAUGUUGUGUCUCAUGUCAGGUUCUGCCAGAAGCUGACCUUGACACUAGGAACUGAAUGCAGGGAGUUGAUCUGGAAGGGGAUCUCAGGAAACCCUGGGAGAGGAUGGAAAACGAGACAGGGAAGGGAAGGGAGCCAAUAAACCGUGUCACAAGCAAGGUACUGCACGCUAUGAGAGGAAUUUCUCCCUGAGCUACUGUGAGAGACCAAGUAGAACAUCCCAGGUCGUCCCCCAAAGAGGGAAGACGCUGAGGUGUCCACCCUGCAGUCUCUGCCUGUGGCUGGUGGGGGCUGAUUCCGGGAUGGGAGCUCUGGCACAAGUGGUCUCUGGUGCAGAGAGCUGCCACUGCUCAGUCAGCAGUGCUCGGCGUGUGGGGCUGAGCACCCAGGACACACUCGGCCUCUGCGGCCAACGCUCUUUGCCUGGAAGGACAGCCAAGUAUCACUCCCUCACUGUUGCUCUUCAGAGUGACUCACUGGAAACAGCUCACAUAUGUUUGCAUGGGUUUAAUUAGGAUGAAACGUCCACGAUUCACCACCCUCUUUGGCAAAUGAAGAAAACGAGCACAGAAAUCAAGGAAGACAGAAACCACACUUGCCUGAGAACCUUCAUCACCUGGGAUUUGUGGCAAAUCUGUUUCCCUGAGCGUCCUGAGUCUGCAUGGGUGGGAAACGGCCGAGUGAAGAGGGGAGACAGCUCCGGGCAGUGGGUGCUGGCCGUGAAAGGCGUUUCCCUGCUCCGAGAGUUUCCACAGGGAGAUUCUGGUUAAUAAUGGUGGAUUGGACACUGGAGACUUGCGAAGAGAGUGUUGUGUGCUCACCACAAAAAAAUGGAAAAAAUAAAUAUAUAAGGUGAUGGAUAGGUCAGUUAGCUUGAUUGGUGAAGUCAUUUCACAAUGUACAUGUAUACCAAAGCAUCCAGUUGUACACCUGAAAUAUAUAACCAUGUUUAUUUAUUACUAUUGAUAAAUAAAGCUGGGGGAAAAAAAGAAGAGCUUCUGCUCGAACUACGGAAGUCCCCCACAUCCCACGCUUCUGUCCUACUGACCUAUAUAACGCUUCUGCAAGAAGGAAACAGACAUUAAAAACACUUCCAGACGCCCAUCUAAUGGACCAAACAACUGAAUUCAACCACAUGUCUCUUUAGCUCAGGUAUCUUGCUGAAACAUGGCAUAAUGAGCAUCCAUCUCUUAUUGUAAAUGAAAUAUUUUCAAGGCUGCUCUAAUUCAGAGAACAUGGUGGAUCACAAUCUUUUUCACUUAGCCAGGCAUGGGGUAAGGGUCUAUGCAGCUGUCAAUGUAACUAACUAAGCAGGAGUUCCAGCAGGUUCCAGUGCCGUGGAAGGUUGACCCAGAGCCUGGUUUGAAACAGAGGAGAUGUCAUUAGAAUUUCUAAAAGCAAGAAGACAAACCUGGGGAAGGCAGGCUUUUUAAUUCACUUUUUUCCCACCAGAUCCUUGUCUUCUCUUGGAGUUAGAAAGUUUUUAGAGGAUUCUGAAAUUAAUAAAGGCAGAAUACAAGAAUGAGACAGGUCACAGGAAGUGGGCACACACGCUUCUCUUUGAGUUUGGGAGAAAGACCACCUUGGCGCUUCUUACUACUCAUUCCUGACUUUUGUGGAGCGGACCUAAUGGUUUUCCCAUGCCCUCCUGCGGGUAAAUGACUCCAUGCUGCUGGGUGAAGCUGUGGUGGCAUCCAGGCUUGGAAUCCCAGGGAUGUGCUCGCUGGGGCUCCUCCAUCCCAAGGGAGAUGGCUUGGAUGCAGAGCCAAACUGUUUAGAAGUGUGAUGCCACCGGCAUGAAAAUGUUACCGGAUAAAUAGAUAACCCAGGCAUCAAGUCACCGUGAUCCAGAGCCCAUAAUGUCUGGAAUGGGCAAAGCUGCAGAGACGAAGGACGCCAUUUUGAUAGGUCUGAUCCAAAUGAAGAGAAGUCUGAUAGAGAUAAGAGGACAUCUGUUCCUCUGACUCUAGACAAAUUGAUUGCUAGAUCCGCAGGGUGGGUUUUUCUUGCUCUUCCCCUUCCUUCCUUCCCUCCCUCUCUCCUCCCCUUUCCCCUCCUUUCCAUCAAUCCUUCCUUCUGUCCUUCUUUCCUUCCUUCCCUCUCUCUCUUCCUCUCUCCCUCCCUCCCUCCCUCUUCUUUUCCCUCUAGCCCUCCCUACUUCUUCCUUCCUUCACUUUUUUCCUCCUUCCUUCAUUUCUUGGCUGGAAGUUUCCAGUUUAGUUGUUUACAGAGCUGAAAUCAACUGGCUAAUUGUCAGUUUUUCUCUCUGCUUCAUAGUAAGCAGUGUCUUACCUGAGCUAAAUGCUUACUCACGCAGGAUAAUAAGAAAUACAGAAAGCCACAGAAGCAUUUAGAAGACAAACAGGUUAUAAAAUUGCCUAUUAGGAACUCUAAUUUAAAAUCAUUUCCAAAAGCUUCUGCCUUCUUUCACCCAGCUGCUACCCCCUCCUUAAAAUUUCCAGCACUACGUGCAAAAUGUGGAUGUUUUCAAAGGUCAGGCCAGGAGGCUCACUUGAAGCCUCAAUUACUUUCUCAUGAAAGGAAAAGAGGGUUAAAAAAAAGGCACCAAGAUAUUCCGAGGAAAUUUUAAUUAGGUACCAAAUGGCAAAUGCAAAUUCAGAUCUUUCCAAAAGCUAAGAUGAAAUGGCUUACCCAGAAUACCUGUUGCUGAUAAAACUUACUAAGGUGAGUGGUGGGUCGUGUCUAUGAAUGAGAAGACACACUUGUGUGGCACAUGGCUGUGUUCAUGAAAGUGCUGUUAUAUACAAGCCAAAAAUACGUUCAAAAGAUCUUUGUAACCAAUGGAAAGAAAAAUGUGUUAUUUUCAUGUCAUGUUAAUGUGUUUUUUUCCCUGCGGCUAAUUAUGCUAUUUCAAGAAAAUAAUUGGAAUUGGCUAGAAGAAAUUAAGAAUAGAAACUUGCAAAUUAUAUAACCUAAUGAAUCUAACUUUUAGUAAUGAACCUAGUUGCUACUUAACACGCAUCACUGAAACCUGCAUUAAACAGAGGAGCCCUCCUAAUUCUUCUCAUUCAACUGAACCAUUCUUAAUAAUUCAUAAUUAAGUCUGGCACAGAAAUGAUAGUCUCCAUGGCAAUAUUGAUUUAUUUGCUUUUUCUGUCUCUGCCAAAUGUUGAAAAAUGACAGAAUUCUGAGUUGAAGGAGGCAAGUGCCAUCAACAAGGAUCACAGAAGAAAAGAAGUGACAAAGGGCUUUACCAAAAGUCCUUUCUCUCUUAACUCCCAGAAAGACGAGAUAUAAAGUGGAGGAAAAUGGAAUGUGGGGCUUAUGGGCUCACGGGUUAGGGUUUAGUGUGAACUAGCAAUGACGAGCACAUAGUGGUCCUGGGAAGGUGGGAGCCCAUUGAGAUCCGUGUCCAUAAUGUGAGAGCAAAGGUCUUCUGAGGCUGGAGAAGAGACUCGGCCCCACUCACCCCAUCUCCAGCUUACUUUCUGCUUGAAAGACCAUCAGAGUCUGCGCUUGCAGAGAAAACAAGGUGAAUGAGGACAAAUUCAAAAAAUGCCCCGUGCAGUCUUCAUGUCUUCUCCUUGGGCCCUUUAACUGAAUACACUAUAGACUUGAGAAUGUGUGCUAUUAACAUAAACUUGAAAAACCCCAAAUUGGCUUCCGACUGCGAUCACUCAUUUUGCCUGUUCUUCGUAAAACAGUCCCUCUGCUCGUGCUGAAACGUUCCCCAAGGACCCGUCCUCUGAACCCUGAACCCUGACACUGAAGGAAAUGAAGGCAGCUUGAACGCACAGAUCACAAUGCUGCGCCGUUAUUUUUAGAACACAGAGUAAUGAAAACAGUAAUACUCAUAAUAAAAGUAAUAGACGCAAUUAAAGUCUAUCUUCAGAGAUAUAAACAGGAGUCAAACAGUGUAUAAGCAUCGUAUUUUAAAAGUCCAAUUAAGAAUCUGCCUUGAAGGGGGUUGGGAAGAAAAACCCAGGGCAUGAAUGCCCGCAUGAACGCGCUGCAUCCUGGACCGCUGUGUCCAAGAGUCAGGCCCUCCUUAGCCCUGGAGGAUCUCCUGUUUGUGAUUUAUUGUGCUUUUUCCUUUAAUGCCUUCCAGCCAGUUGGGCAACAACAUUUUAUUGAAUGGGAGUUUGAUGUGUGUUGAAUGGUGUACUAGAGGCUUGUAAAAAACGGCUUAGAAUAAUCUAAGGCCAGCAACAUUUCCCAGAGGAAACGCUGAACCAUCACACAGACAGAGGGCUGCCUUUGGGUGAAGGAUGUCACAUUUGGAAGACUGGCUUGGAUCACACUCACAAGCCUGUGUGCACCACUGGAGGACUGUGCCCUACAAUGAGACUCCAGAUGCCAAGCGAGCUUGGCAAUGUGUCCAGAUACUAGUGAAGAAGCAGACCCACCUGGAUUGGAGUUCAACUCUGACACCAACCAGCUGUGCAAUCUUGGCCAAAGUCACCGCACCUCUCUGAACCUCCAUUUCUUUAGCUAUAAAAUGGGGAUGAUUGCUCCUGUUCUAUCUGCUUUCCAGGUUGUUUCAGAAUUCAGUGGAUAUGGGAGAUGUGAAAGCAAAGGGUAAAGUAUAAAGCAGAUUGCAAACAAAGAGUCCCAGCUCUUCCUGUACCAGCUGUGUGACUUUUAACAAGCUACUUAACCUCUCUGUGCCUCAAAUUCCUUAUUCAUAACAUGGAGAUAAUAGUAAUAUCACUCUCAUAGGAUUGUAGUGAAUAUUAAGUAAAUUAAUAUGAAGUACUUAGCAUAGUGCUUCUCAUUAUUACUAUUAAUAAUUAAGGCUUUUGUUGAAAAGGAAAGUGAAAAACAGAUUGCCUUUUUCUGUCUGAGAGGGACCCAACUUAUGUCCAUCAAGUCGUGGGACCUUGACAGAGCUUCCUGAGAGGACCCUGAAAUAAAUCCCAAAGGACAGCAAGGCCAUUAAAAAUUGUGUCAGUGAUGUAAUUUUAAAAACAACAUGUAAUUCCCACAAAAACUGGAACAAAUGAGAUUUUACUCUCCAAUAAGUGGAUGGCUACUGUACGUGUCUGUCUGUGCAGGUUCACACAAUAAAAAAACAAGCAGAAAACUCUCAUUCAUUCAUUUAGAAGUCAACAUUUGCUGAACCCCUACUGUGCAUGAAGUUCUUGCUAAACAUAGUAGGGACACCUGUGACAGAGACGCCCUUGAUCUUCCCAGGAGAGAGUGCCGAUUAAGCGGCAUGCUACAGACGUGUCGAGAGGAAUAAAAAGGCUGGGAGCCCAGAGGAGGGGCUGAUGUGCUUCUUGGGCGCAGGGGAAGAGGGUCGUGGGGACAGACAGAGCUGGAGGAGGAGUUUUGAUCAGAUAGAGAAGGGGUCAGCCCAGUCGGGGCAGGGCGACGAGCACAGAACAUGGCUGCCUCCUACGAGCAGGGAGAGGAGAGGAGGAGGGGUGGGCAGAGUCUGAGGAGCCUGGAAUGCCAGACCAAGCUCUUUGGAUCUCAGCUGAGGCAGCGAGCAGUCAAGGGAGUCUCUAAACGGGGGCAGGAUGUGAGCUAAUCUCACUGUUGGGUGCUCACUCCAGGUGGUGUGAAGGUUGGACCAGAAAAGGGAGAGACCAAGGCACGAGGCCCUGAGCAGGUGUUAGAGGUUUCGGCAAGAAACCAUUGGACUGGCUGCCCUUGACCCAGAUGAAACACCCCAAUGUCCUGACUUUAGCACAUGGCAACACGCGUCCCUCGUCCUUGGAUGAGAUGGUGCAGAAGGGCCAUCCCGGGAAGAGGCUGCUCCCCAUCCUCAGCACUUCCAAGCUGUGCUGUGCUUGGAAACCCAAGGGAAAGGCAUAAAGUGGAGACAGCAGGUUGAGGCUUCUUUGUGUAGGAGGAGACUGAGGAACGAGAAAGGGUCUGUAGCCCCUUCCUUCCCUCUUCCUGGUUUGACUUUCCGGAAAUGAAGAGAAGUGCAAAGAAGCCCUGGUGUGACUUCCCUGGGAUGAGAUACAAGCGGAAGUAGCACCCCUUGCAGGACCAGCCUUGGUGGUCCUACGAAAACCAUUUCAUCACCCUGGAGAGCAUGGCUGCCCAUAAUGAACACUGUGCAAUUCAAUUCACGCUGAAUAAAUUAAUUGACAGAGGAGCACAUGGCGAGAUGCAUAAAUUCCUCAUUGAUAUGCAUUAUUGAAAACAAGGAACUGAUGUGGAAAAAGACAGUGAGCAUCUUCAGCCACACCAAGGAGGUCACAAACCUCAAACAGCCACAGGUAGUCUUGGAAACAUCCCUAUCCCCAUUCCUCUCGCUUCUUCUUCUACUUUAAUUUAAAAAGCUAUUGAUGGCCUGGCUCAAAGAUCCCUGUUUUUCUAUUCAAACAGCUUCCUUGAAGUUUGAAAAAUAGAAAAUAUUCCCCUGAGUGUAAAGAACACACAUUCCCCUGAGUGUAAAGAAUGAGUAACCUGGCAAAGUGAAAUUAAAAAGUUG